GAGGGCGGGUCCCAGCAAAUUCCUCCGCAGUUUUGAGGCCGUCUCGUCUCUUCCUUUUGCUGACGGGAACCUGGGGCGGCACUUGUGAGAAGUAGAGUCCGGGGUGCUGGUUCUCACCGGCCGGUUUGAAGGCGCCUUCCUUCCAGAUGGACCACCAACUUGCCGAUGCUCCUUGGAGGCCACGGGAGACUUCUGGCAUACUGGACCUGAGAUCCUUUCUCUUCGCAGCUGUAAACCACAGAGGUGGCCCCCCUAGAACAGACAAGGAUCAGUAGUAUUGUUCCCAAAACUGAGACUGGAAUCACACACAAGUACACACAAAAAAUAUUAUGACUGAUUAAUAAUAACCUAAAAUAAAGGAAAUCAUAGAUUGUG